AAUAGAUACCCCGGUAGUCCACGCCGUAAACGAUGAGUGCUAAGUGUUAGAGGGUUUCCGCCCUUUAGUGCUGCAGCUAACGCAUUAAGCACUCCGCCUGGGGAGUACGGUCGCAAGACUGAAAACUCAAAGGAAUUGACGGGGGCCCGCACAAGCGGUGGAGCAUGUGGUUUAAUUCGAAGCAACGCGAAGAACCUUACCAGGUCUUGACAUCCUCUGACAACUCUAGAGAUAGAGCGUUCCCCUUCGGGGGACAGAGUGACAGGUGGUGCAUGGUUGUCGUCAGCUCGUGUCGUGAGAUGUUGGGUUAAGUCCCGCAACGAGCGCAACCCUUGAUCUUAGUUGCCAGCAUUCAGUUGGGCACUCUAAGGUGACUGCCGGUGACAAACCGGAGGAAGGUGGGGAUGACGUCAAAUCAUCAUGCCCCUUAUGACCUGGGCUACACACGUGCUACAAUGGAUGGUACAAAGGGCUGCAAGACCGCGAGGUCAAGCCAAUCCCAUAAAACCAUUCUCAGUUCGGAUUGU
rnacentral:rRNA from 1 species